GGAGGCUAUAUACAGGGUGUUACGGUACAGAGUCAAUGUGGAGGCUAUAUACAGGGUGUUACGGUACAGAGUCAAUGUGGAGGCUAUAUACAGGGGGUACCGGUACAGAGUCAAUGUGGAGGCUAUAUACAGGGGGUACCGGUACAGAGUCAAUGUGCGGGGGCACCGGUGAGGUAAUAUGUACAUGUAGGUAGAGGUAUUAAAGUAACUGUGCAUAGAUAAUAACAAAGAGUAGCAGUGUAGAAGGGGGAGGGCAGCCAUUUGAUUAGAUGUUCAGGAGUCUUAUGCCUUGGGGGUAGAUACCGUUGAGAAAUAUUUUUGUCCUAGACUUGGCGCUCCGGAACCGCUUGCCGUGUGGUAGCAGAGAGAACAGUCUAUGACUGGGGUGGC
ensembl:lncRNA